rnacentral:rRNA from 1 species
AAGACACCGUGGAGGGCCGCACCCACGUCUGUUGAAAAAGCCGGGGAUGACUUGUGGAUAGCGGAGAAAUUCCAAUCGAACUCGGAGAUAGCUGGUUCUCCCCGAAAUAGCUUUAGGGCUAGCGUUAUUUUAGAUUACCGGAGGUAAAGCACUGAAUGGUCUAGGGGCCGCGAGGUUACCAAAGCCUAUCAAACUCUGAAUGCCGGAUAAUUGAUGAAUAGCAGUCAGACUGUGUGAGAUAAGUCUCAUAGUCAAAAGGGAAACAGCCCAGAUCUACAGCUAAGGUCCCAAAUGAACACUAAGUGGAAAAUGAUGUGAAACUGCGAAGACAACCAGGAUGUUGGCUUAGAAGCAGCCACUCAUUCAAAGAGUGCGUAAUAGCUCACUGGUCGAGUGGUUUUGCGCAGAAAAUGUAACGGGGCUAAGUGUUCAACCGAAGCUUAGGCAUUGCAGCAAUGCAUUGGGUAGGGGAGCGUCGUAUGCGGGGCGAAGUCAGAGCGGAAGCACUGGUGGACUGCAUACGAGUGAGAAUGCCGGAAUAAGUAGCGAGAAUUAUGUGAGAAUCAUAAUGGCCGAAAAUCUAAGGUUUCUUGGGGAAGGUUCGUCCGCCCAAGGUUAGUCGGGAGCUAAGCUCAGGCCGAAAGGCGUAGGCGAUGCACAUACGGUAGAAAUUCCGUAACCACCGAACAUUUAAGCUAGAGGGACGCUUUCAUUAAGUCUAUCCCGGGCGAUGGUUGCCCCGGGCGUAAGGGACCGAAAUAUAGUAGGGAAGUAGACGGCGUGAGAGACGAGAAAAGCUCUAGUGUAUACUAAGGUGCCCGUACCGCAAACCGACACAGGUAGAUGGGAUGAGUAUUCUAAGGCCAACGGGAGAAGGGUUGUUAAGGAACUCGGCAAAUUGGCCCCGUAACUUCGGGAUAAGGGGCGCCUGCGAGAGCAGGCCGCAGUGAAAAGGCCCAAGCGACUGUUUAGCAAAAACACAGCUCUCUGCUAAAUCGAAAGAUGACGUAUAGGGGGUGACGCCUGCCCGGUGCUGGAAGGUUAAGGGGAGUGCUUAGCGCAAGCGAAGGUGCGAACUUAAGCCCCAGUAAACGGCGGCCGUAACUAUAACGGUCCUAAGGUAGCGAAAUUCCUUGUCAGGUAAGUUCUGACCCGCACGAAUGGCGUAACGAUUUGGGCACUGUCUCAACAGCCCGCCCGGCGAAAUUGUAGUACCGGUGAAGAUGCCGGUUUCCCGCAACUAGACGGAAAGACCCCAUGGAGCUUCACUGUAGCUUGAUAUUGGAUCUCGGUAUUCCAUGUACAGGAUAGGUGGGAGACUUGGAAGUAAGCGCGCCAGCGUUUAUGGAGUCAACCUUGGGAUACCACUCUUGGGAUAUUGGGAUUCUAACCUGCGACCAUGAAUCUGGUCGGGGGACACUGUCAGGUGGGCAGUUUGACUGGGGCGGUCGCCUCCAAAAGAGUAACGGAGGCGCUCAAAGGUUCGUUCAGCACGGAUGGAAAUCGUGCACUGAGUGUAAACGCAUAAACGAGCCUAACUGCGAGAAUGACGGUUCGAGCAGUAACGAAAGUUGGAGUUAGUGAUCCGGCGGUAUGUGAAUGGAAAUGCCGUCGCUCAACGGAUAAAAGCUACCCUGGGGAUAACAGGCUGAUCUCCCCCAAGAGUCCACAUCGACGGGGAGGUUUGGCACCUCGAUGUCGGCUCAUCGCAUCCUGGGGCUGAAUUCGGUCCCAAGGGUUUGGCUGUUCGCCAAUUAAAGCGGUACGCGAGCUGGGUUCAGAACGUCGUGAGACAGUUCGGUCCCUAUCUGUUGCGGGCGCAGGAAUAUUGAGAGGAGCUGUCCUUAGUACGAGAGGACCGGGAUGGACGUACCGCUGGUGCACCAGUUGUUCUGCCAAGGGCAUAGCUGGGUAGCUAAGUACGGACGAGAUAAACGCUGAAGGCAUCUAAGCGUGAAACUCCCCUCGAGAUAAGUGUUCCCAUCCUUCGGGAGUAAGGCCCCUUGUAGACUACAAGGUUGAUAGGUCAGGAGUGGAAGUGCAGUAAUGUAUGGAGCGGACUGAUACUAAUAGGCCGAGGGCUUGACCUUA